AAUUAACAAAUUAAAAGCAGCUCUGGAUAUAUAAAUUAUAAAUGUAAUUUAGAAAUUUGUUAUUCCUAAUUAGGAAUCAGCAAGCUCUUCUAAAUUAUAUAAGUAUGGAAAGAAAUUAUUGUAGAAUUUAAGCUAUAUAUUAAAGAGAUUUAUUUAUAUAAAUAGGUUUGCUAGCUGAUUGUGUAUAUACGCAGGCCAAUGCUUCUAAUUUCAUAGCAAGCUCGCUUGCUAUGAAAUAGGCAACCAGUAAUAUAAGCAAGUGUGUGCUAUUUAUAGCGCUAGCCUACAAACCUAUAAUUAUAUUAACUCUAAGAGAAAUUUAAUAAUAAACGAAGUGAAUUGAAAUAUCUUAGUAACUUUAGGAAAAGAAAUCAAAAGAGAUUCUAUGAUUAGCGUGAGCUAAAAUAGACUAGCCUAAAAAGUCAAAUGGUGGAUAAACUGUUUAAAUUAAAUGGGGAACCUUCCUCAAAGGCUAAAUAUAAUGUAUAAGCGAUAGUGGAAAGUACCGUGAGGGAACCAAAACAAAAACAGUGAUUUUAUAAGCAGUUCGGGAAAAUAAAAAAAAGUUAGAACGUACCUUUUGCAUAAUGGGUCACCAAGUUAACAUUAGAUGCGAGUAGGAGGCUUUGCCCAUACAUACGUAGUUAAACCGAGCGUUAAAAUAACGGUAAGUAUCUAAAGUUAGACCCGAAGCCUGGUGAUUUUACCAUAAUCAGGAUUAUAAAAGUCCGAACGGAAUAUUGUAGCAUAAAUAUCCGAAGAAUUAUGGUAGGUGUAGUGAAAGACAAUACUGACCAGGAUAGCUGGUUUUCUGCGAAACCUAUAACAGUAGGCAAUUUAAGUAUAAUAUCUUAGCAGGUACAGAAUUUAAUCUCAGACAAGACAUAAGGCUUAGCUUGCUAGCAAGUAAAGCUCAUGUUUUAUUUUGUACAAAUUGGGGGAUCAUGAAGAUUUUAUCAGUGAGUAUGUAGACUCGGAAUGGCAAAGAUAUAUCUUAAAUCAUCAGACAUAGAAUGAUAAGGUUGUAUGUCAAAAGGGAAACAGCCCAGAACAAGAGUUAAGGUUCCUAAAUUAUUAGUUGAGUGAAAUUAAGAAGGUUUUUAUUAAAGUCGACAAGGAGAUAGGCUUAGAAGCAGCCAUAAUUUUAUGACCUCGUAACAGAGCGCUUGUUAAGUUUUAAAAGCAUCGAAAAUUUAUCGGAUCUAAACAAUAUACCGAAACCUUGUCCAUAUUAUUUUAUAAUUAAAGCUUAAUUAUAAUUAAAUGGGGUAGCAGAACGUUGAGCUAAAUUAAGAUUUUUAUUUUUUAAAUGAAAUUAUAAUAAUUUAACUCAAGUGAUAAUGGUGACAUGAGUAACUAAAAGAAAAAAUAAAAUUUUUCCGCCUAAAGCUUAUGGAUGUAAUUAAGUAACGGCCUCUAAGUUUAUAUUAUCUAAAGAUUUAAACGAUGAGAUAAUCUUUUGUACUAAGGACGACAUUUUAAGUGAAAAAUGUACUGGAAAAAUAGUACUAAAUUAAUGGGUAUAGCUAAUUAGUUAGCUAUAGCUAUAAAUGAAAAGUAACCGUACCUAGAAUCUGAAACAAGUAAGCUAGUAGAGAAUACGAAGGCGUAAAUGAGCUAACAAUCAUAAAGGAACUCGGCAAAUUGACUACCGUAACUUCGGGAUAAGGAGAGCUCAUUAUUCUUGAUUAAUAUCAGGUAAAGAGGAAGAAGCAUGAAAUAGUGUUGUACGACUGUUUAAUUAAAACACAGCACUUUGCUGAAAGAUUAAAAAUCUAAGUAUAGAGUGUGAUGUCUGCCCGGUGCCGGCUGGUUAACAGAUAUAAUUAAAUAUACUAAUAUUUGAUGUAGACGGAAACCCCGGUUAAAGGCGGCCUUAACGUGAGGGUCCUAAGGUAGCGAAAUGCCUUGGCCGUUAAAUGCGGUCUUGCAUGAAUGAUGUAACGAUACAACAGCUGUCUCUAUGAUUGACUCAGUGAAAUUGGAAUAGCUGUGCAGAUACAGUUUACCUCUAGUUAGACGAGAAGACCCUAUGCAGCUUUACUGUCACUAAUUAUAGAGUAUGAUAAACAAUUUUCAGAUUAUAAGGUAAUUGACGGCUAGCUUGUUCAGCAAGCUAGCUCUAUGACAAUGAGAAUCCUUUAUUUUUUUUUCAUAUGAAUGAAUUGGUUUAGGAUUAUGAGUAGGUAGCGGCUUCUGCUACUUGGCGUAAGCAUUGCUUGCGUCAGGUGUCUGAAGUAUGCAUUCCAGCUCAUGCAUAGUAAAUCAACCUAAUUCAGCUUAUUUUCCUUUCUGCCAUAAGCGCAUAAUGAUAGAUUUAACUUAAAUUUUGAUUUAUGCCAGCUGCAGAAAUAGAUAAGUACCCUUGGCUAAGGAACUAUCGCUAGGGGACAGUUUAUGUGGGGCACAGACCCUGUAAAGAGUAAACAGGAGUGUCUAAUAAUUUAUAAUUAUUUUGUUUGCGAUUUAAGAUAGUGAAACUAUUUUUAAUCAUAUAAAAUUAUUUAUAUGUACAUUCGUUGUAUAUAUAUUUAAAAAAAGGUAGGAUUUUCACUAUAUAGAAAUUAGAGAUAAUAAAAAUAUUAAGAAUAUACGUUUCAGGCUGGGAGGGGGAAGCUCCUCCCUUUGAAAGGUAGCACUAAUAUUUUUUAGCUAUUAAGACAGGCUAUCAAGCUAGGCUCUAAUAGUUAUGUAUUAAUUAUCUAAAAAGCUCAACGGCUAAAUCUUGCCUUACUGUUUGAUUAUCAACAAAUCU
rnacentral:rRNA from 1 species